rnacentral:rRNA from 1 species
UACGUAGGGGGCAAGCGUUGUCCGGAUUUAUUGGGCGUAAAGAGCGUGUAGGCGGCCAGACAAGUCUGCUGUGAAAACUCGAGGCUCAACCUCGAGCUGUCGGUGGAAACUGUCUGGCUAGAGUCCGGAAGAGGAGAGUGGAAUUCCUGGUGUAGCGGUGAAAUGCGCAGAUAUCAGGAAGAACACCGAUGGCGAAGGCAGCCUCCUGGGCCAACACUGACGCUCAUGCACGAAAGCGUGGGGAGCAAACAGG